rnacentral:tRNA from 1 species
CAAGAUAAAGCUUAUUAGAUUAGUUUCCCAUUUACACUGGGAAGGUUUCUGUGCAACUCAGGUUAUCUUGA